UUUCACUUCCUAAUUACCUCUCUUCCUUCUUCUCUAUUUUUUUUCAAAAUUUUCCAAAAUUUCUCCCCAAAAGAAUCUCACUGAUUCAGGUUAAGGAAAAGCACCAAAUUCAUCGAUUUCAGUUAGGAAUUUUAAAAAGGAAAAGCACCAAAAUUCACUUCAAUGUCAGAUUCGAAGAGGGGUUACAAGAGGUAUCAAAUUUUUGGAGAUUUUCCCUCUUUUGAUCUUUGCAUUACUCAAGGAUUGAUCGAAAAUAUAGGGGUUGCGUCUAAAAUAGCCGAAGAGAGCAGAUCGAAGUUUAUUCAUGAUCCAAUCCUCAUGCAAAAUCUUCAACCUUCAACUGAAGCAGAAUAUAUGGUUGAUGAUCAAAUUGGGGAUGAACAAAUUCAUGAACAUCAAAUUGAUGAAGAGAUAUUUACUCUUAUAUGCCAUGUCAUGUGCAAAUUUAAUUUAUUUUUAUAUUUAUAAGUUUCACUGAAUGUUGUAUUCAUACCGCAUUGAUAUUGUUUUUUUGUAUCCAGCUUAUUGAAAUACAAGUUUGCUUUGUUAAUGUA